CUAACACAUGCAAGUCGAGCGGAUGAGAAGAGCUUGCUCUUCGAUUCAGCGGCGGACGGGUGAGUAAUGCCUAGGAAUCUGCCUGGUAGUGGGGGACAACGUUUCGAAAGGAACGCUUAUACCGCAUACGUCCUACGGGAGAAAGCAGGGGACCUUCGGGCCUUGCGCUAUCAGAUGAGCCUAGGUCGGAUUAGCUAAUUGGUGAGGUAAUGGCUCACCAAGGCGACGAUCCGUAACUGGUCUGAGAGGAUGAUCAGUCACACUGGAACUGAGACACGGUCCAGACUCCUACGGGAGGCAGCAGUGGGGAAUAUUGGACAAUGGGCGAAAGCCUGAUCCAGCCAUUCCGCGUGUGUGAAGAAGGUCUUCGGAUUGUAAAGCACUUUAAGUUGGGAGGAAGGGCAUUAACCUAAUACGUUAGUGUUUUGACGUUACCGACAGAAUAAGCACCGGCUAACUCUGUGCCAGCAGCCGCGGUAAUACAGAGGGUGCAAGCGUUAAUCGGAAUUACUGGGCGUAAAGCGCGCGUAGGUGGUUUGUUAAGUUGGAUGUGAAAGCCCCGGGCUCAACCUGGGAACUGCAUCCAAAACUGGCAAGCUAGAGUACGGUAGAGGGUGGUGGAAUUUCCUGUGUAGCGGUGAAAUGCGUAGAUAUAGGAAGGAACACCAGUGGCGAAGGCGACCACCUGAACUGAUACUGACACUGAGGUGCGAAAGCGUGGGGAGCAAACAGGAUUA
rnacentral:rRNA from 1 species